GAUGAACGCUGGCGGCGUGCCUAAUACAUGCCAGUCGAGCGAACAGAUGAGGAGCUUGCUCCUCUGACGUUAGCGGCGGACGGGUGAGUAACACGUGGAUAACCUACCUAUAAGACUGGGAUAACUUCGGGAAACCGGAGCUAAUACCGGAUAAUAUAUUGAACCGCAUGGUUCAAUAGUGAAAGACGGUUUUGCUGUCACUUAUAGAUGGAUCCGCGCCACAUUAGCUAGUUGGUAAGGUAACGGCUUACCAAGGCAACGAUGCGUAGCCGACCUGAGAGGGUGAUCGGCCACACUGGAACUGAGACACGGUCCAGACUCCUACGGGAGGCAGCAGUAGGGAAUCUUCCGCAAUGGGCGAAAGCCUGACGGAGCAACGCCGCGUGAGUGAUGAAGGUCUUCGGAUCGUAAAACUCUGUUAUUAGGGAAGAACAAAUGUGUAAGUAACUAUGCACGUCUUGACGGUACCUAAUCAGAAAGCCACGGCUAACUACGUG
rnacentral:rRNA from 1 species